rnacentral:rRNA from 1 species
UUUAAAUUGAGAGUUUGAUCCUGGCUCAGGACGAACGCUGGCGGCGUGCUUAACACAUGCAAGUCGAACGAGGUU